CAGUCAGAUCCGUUAACAGGCCCUCUGCUCCCAGCGUUUGGAGACAGUCCGUCAGUCAGAGUCUCGGAGCUAGAGGUCGAGCCGUUGAGUGGAUCUCGCGGCGGCGACUUCCCCAGCCGCCCGGCCGGGCUCGUCCCGGGGCUGGUGCGUCCUGCCGACUUCCUCGCCCGGAGAGGUGCCUGCAGUGCGUGGGCCAAAGGUUGGAUCUCGCAGAAAAUGAGGUACUUGGGCAUGGGAUGGGAAUCACAAUUGUUGUGGAGUAAAUGAAGAAUAUCUUGUUGUUUGGCUGCUACCAUCGAUGUUCUUGUAGAUUGAACAUUGCCAUGGGCAUUUCUCUACGCAACCAAUAUAUUAGAUCAAGCAUCAUGUCAUGGACAUCAUAAGACUUUUCUGCCUUGAUAGUGAUGUCUACGGGCUGGAUCAUGCUUCUGUUUAUGAGCUCAUUGAAGUAACUCUCCUAACUCAAAUGGGUCAAUUUCACCUUUAAAUGAUACAUAAAUAUUCAGCUAUCCAUCUUCAUAUGAACUGGUGUCGCUUAAUUUUGUAAUCUUCUGGAUAUAUGCUUACAUGUAAUAAAUAAUGUGAAGGUAGAUCAUAGAACGACAACACAAUUUUUAGUCCUAAACACAUUAUGGUAGACUAGAGAUAGAAAACAAUAGGAACCACACACAUACCAAUGAUAUGGAAAGUAGCAAAGAUAUAGUAAAAGAAGAUCUUGACUUUUAGAUUAUGUCAAAGUGAUAAUCUGGAGUCAAGCUUAUUUUACUACUAGUUUUGAUCUACCUUGUCAUCUAUAGGAUUAGUUAUUAUAUCUAAGUAUGUUUUUAGAAGAUUAGAAGAUUAAGCAAGGUUACUUGAUAUGUAAAUGGAUAGCUGGAUGUUUUGUUUAUCAUGAAAAACAAGAGAUUAGCCUAUUUGAGCUCGGUGAUAGAGUUACUCAAUGAGAUCAUAAAUAGAAGCGUGAUUCAACCAAUAGACAUCAAUUUGAUGAAAGCAUGGAAAAAUCUAUCGUGUUCAUGAUAUGGUGAUUGAUCCCAUAUGUUCUUGCCAAGUGAAGAAUACCACUUACAUGGCACUGAGUGAAAGCGGUCUAUACGAACUUACAAAGGCAAUGUUUGAAGAUUAUCCCUCCAAAAGAGCAUGUCAGAUAUGACCACCAUCAGAAGCAGCAAUGCCAUAAGUGAGGUAACUUGCAGUAUCUAUAUCUGCUAUUGUUUCUAUUGUUGAUCUAGUGCUGCUUAUCUCGAGUACCUGUGCUGGAUUUAGAAUAAUGUGGUGUAUGUUUAUUCUCAUUUGAGACUGUUGAAAAUUGGAGAACACUAAAUUUGUCUUGGCGUUUUGAUCCGCCUUCCCUCUACAAGGUCAUUGUACCCACAUACCUCUGAAUUCUGCAAGUCUCUGCAGCGCCUAUUGCAUUUUUCUCAUAAUGAACUUCCUUUUUCCAUUUAUUUGUGUUGUAAGGAGAACUAUGUAAUAUGAUGUGUUGUUGUCUUGUUAA